ACUCAAAUGAAUUGACGGGGACCCGCACAACCGGUGGAGCGUGUGGUUCAAUUCGAUACAAAACGAAAAACCUCACCAGGGUUUGACAUGAUACCGUUUUAGUCCUGUGGAAACACGGGACGAUCCGCAAGGAUGGUACCACAGGUGCUGCAUGGCUGUCGUCAGCUCGUGCCGUGAGGUGUUCCCUUAAGUGGGGAAACGAGCGCAACCCCUGCCAAAUGUUAAAUAUUCAUUUGGAACAGCCCCAAACUUUUGUGUUUGAGUCAAAAACUCGAGCCUGAAAGUUUGGGGAGGAAGGAAGGGAAGACGUCAAGUCAGCAUGGUCCUUACACCCUGGGCUACACACACACUACAAUGGCGAAAAACAACGGGCAGCAAGCGCGUAAGUGCAAGCUAAUCCCUUAAAUUUCGCCUCAGUUCAGAUUGGGGUCUGAAACCCGACCCCAUGAAGUCGGAAUCGGUAGUAAUCGCAGAUCAUAAUGCUGCGGUGAAUACGUUCUCGGGUCUUGUACACACCGCCCGU
rnacentral:rRNA from 1 species